UGUUAGCGGGAAGAAAUCUACAUCUUUUGCUUCUUUUGAAGCAACUGCAGUUGUUAAUACAACAGUAUCUCCAUAUUUUACUACUACUGCUGCAUUAGCUUGGCGAGCCAUUUCACCUAAUUCAACUGUUAAUGUUUUUCCAGCCCAUUGCGUUGUAUAAACUUUUUUAUCUUGAAACAUGUUUAUUUCCUUUCAAUAUUUUUCUUAAACUUUAUAUAAAUCGACUACCUUAUUAUAUCACGAAUACUAGCAUUUACAAAGAAAAAAACGAAAACAUAGUAGAAAUAACA
rnacentral:antisense_RNA from 1 species